rnacentral:rRNA from 1 species
UACCGGCCUUGUCUAGUAUAGCAUUAUACCGCGAAACUGCGAAUGGCUCAUUAUAUAAGUUAUCGUUUAUUUGAUAGUACCUUACUACUUGGAUAACCGUGGUAAUUCUAGAGCUAAUACAUGCUAAAAAUCCCGACUUCGGAAGGGAUGUAUUUAUUAGAUUAAAAACCAAUGCCCUUCGGGGCUCACUGGUGAUUCAUGAUAACUCCUCGAAUCGCAUGGCCUUGUGCCGGCGAUGGUUCAUUCAAAUUUCUUCCCUAUCAACUUUCGAUGUUUGGGUAUUGGCCAAACAUGGUUGCAACGGGUAACGGAGGGUUAGGGCUCGACCCCGGAGAAGGAGCCUGAGAAACGGCUACUACAUCCAAGGAAGGCAGCAGGCGCGCAAAUUACCCAAUCCCGACACGGGGAGGUAGUGACAAUAAAUACUGAUACAGGGCUCUUUUGGGUCUUGUAAUUGGAAUGAGUACAAUUUAAAUCCCUUAACGAGGAACAAUUGGAGGGCAAGUCUGGUGCCAGCAGCCGCGGUAAUUCCAGCUCCAAUAGCGUAUAUUAAAGUUGUUGUGGUUAAAAAGCUCGUAGUUGAACCUUGGGCCUGGCCGUCCGGUCCGCCUCACCGCGUGUACUGGCUCGGCCGGGCCUUUCCCUCUGUGGAACCCCAUGCCCUUCACUGGGCGUGGCGGGGAAACAGGACUUUUACUGUGAAAAAAUUAGAGUGCUCCAGGCAGGCCUAUGCUCGAAUACAUUAGCAUGGAAUAAUAGAAUAGGACGUGUGGUUCUAUUUUGUUGGUUUCUAGGACCGCCGUAAUGAUUAAUAGGGACAGUCGGGGGCAUCAGUAUUCAAUUGUCAGAGGUGAAAUUCUUGGAUUUAUUGAAGACUAACUACUGCGAAAGCAUUUGCCAAGGAUGUUUUCAUUAAUCAGGAACGAAAGUUAGGGGAUCGAAGACGAUCAGAUACCGUCGUAGUCUUAACCAUAAACUAUGCCGACUAGGGAUCGGACGGUGUUAUUUUUUGACCCGUUCGGCACCUUACGAGAAAUCAAAGUGCUUGGGCUCCAGGGGGAGUAUGGUCGCAAGGCUGAAACUUAAAGAAAUUGACGGAAGGGCACCACCAGGGGUGGAGCCUGCGGCUUAAUUUGACUCAACACGGGGAAACUCACCAGGUCCAGACACAAUGAGGAUUGACAGAUUGAGAGCUCUUUCUUGAUUUUGUGGGUGGUGGUGCAUGGCCGUUCUUAGUUGGUGGAGUGAUUUGUCUGCUUAAUUGCGAUAACGAACGAGACCUUAACCUGCUAAAUAGCCCGUAUUGCUUUGGCAGUACGCUGGCUUCUUAGAGGGACUAUCGCUCAGCCCGAGAUUG